AUGAGUGUUCUUUUAAAUCACGCUGGGAUUUGCAGUCUUUUUGACGUCUUACUCCCUCUGCAGAAGACCACCUCCAUUUUUCUCACCACCUGCAGCCCCUCCCGAGGCUCCACUCUCCCUCCAUGCCCUGUUCUCUGCACCAGGAACUGUUUCUAUGUGCUAGUUCAAUAGCCUCCUGGCCUUCUGGCUUUCAGAUACAUUCUGGAUUAUUCUAAUGCACACUCAAGUCUGAGGACCUCUUCAGGAAAAUUGCUUCUGUUCUUGGGUGGAGAAGCAGAGCUUUUUGCCUGGGUAGCCCAGAGGGUGGGUAUAUAACUUUCUUCUGGAAAUUUCUCAGCUUGAUUGUUACCUGAGCCCACAUAAAAUAAACCAGAAUUCAUGCUCCCA
rnacentral:lncRNA from 13 species